AGAGGAUGGGGAGCAACCUAGUUGUGCGUGUGUAAAGGUAGUGCCAAGAAAAGCGGUGAUCAUGAUGAAAAUCAAUUCCCGGUACCCGAAACCGACACAGGUGGGCAAGUAGAGAAUACUAAGGGGCGCGAGGUAACUCUCUCCAAGGAACUCGGCAAAAUGACCCCGUAACUUAGGGAGAAGGGGUGCCACCGAGAGGUGGUCGCAGUGAAGAGGCCCAGGCGACUGUUUAGCAAAAACAUAGGUCUCUGCGAACUCGAAAGAGGAGGUAUAGGGGCUGACGCCUGCCCAGUGCCGGAAGGUUAAAGAAGUUGGUCAGUCUUAGGAUAAAGCUAGCGACUGAAGCCCCGGUGAACGGCGGCCGUAACUAUAACGGUCCUAAGGUAGCGAAAUUCCUUGUCGGGUAAGUUCCGACCCGCACGAAAGGCGUAACGAUCUGGGCGCUGUCUCGGAGAGAGGCUCGGCGAAAUAGGAUUGUCUGUGAAGAUACGGACUACCUGCAUUUGGACAGAAAGACCCUAUGAAGCUUUACUAUAGCUUGGAAUUGUGUUCGGGCUUCCUGUGCGCAGGAUAGGUGGGAGGCGAAGAAGGUAUUCUUGUGGGGAUACUGGAGCCAACGGUGAGAUACCACUCUCAGGAGGCUAGAAUUCUAACUUAAUUAAGGACAGUUUCAGGUGGGUAGUUUGACUGGGGCGGUCGCCUCCAAAAAGGUAACGGAGGCGUACAAAGGUUCCCUCAGACUGGUUGGAAAUCAGUCGCAGAGUGCAAAGGCAGAAGGGAGCUUGACUGCGAGAAGUACAGUUCGAGCAGGGUGGAAACACGGUCUUAGUGAUCCGACGGUGCUGUGUGGAAGGGCCGUCGCUCAACGGAUAAAAGUUACUCUAGGAUAACAGGCUGAUCUCCCCCAAGAGUUCACAUCGACGGGGAGGUUUGGCACCUCGAUGUCGGCUCAUCGCAACCUGGGGCGGAAGUACGUCCCAAGGGUUGGGCUGUUCGCCCAUUAAAGCGGUACGUGAGCUGGGUUCAGAACGUCGUGAGACAGUUCGGUCCAUAUCCGAUGUAGGCGUGAGAAUAUUGAGAGGAGUCUUCCUUAGUACGAGAGGACCGGGAAGGACGCACCGCUGGUGUACCUGUUAUGAUGCCAAUUGUAAACGCAGGGUAGCCAAGUGCGGAGAGGAUAACCGCUGAAAGCAUCUAAGUGGGAAGCCCACCUCAAGAUGAGUAUUCUGGUGUAAGGUCACGGGAAGACGACCCGUAAAUAGGCACGAGGUGGAAGUGCAGAGAUGUAUGAAGCCGAAGUGUACUAAUAGACCGUCGGCUUGAUC
rnacentral:rRNA from 1 species